ACGUUGAGUCGACUGGAGGUUGUGCCCUUGAGGCGUGGCUUCCGGAGCUAACGCGUUAAGUCGACCGCCUGGGGAGUACGGCCGCAAGGUUAAAACUCAAAUGAAUUGACGGGGGCCCGCACAAGCGGUGGAGCAUGUGGUUUAAUUCGAUGCAACGCGAAGAACCUUACCUACUCUUGACAUCCAGAGAACUUACCAGAGAUGCUUUGGUGCCUUCGGGAACUCUGAGACAGGUGCUGCAUGGCUGUCGUCAGCUCGUGUUGUGAAAUGUUGGGUUAAGUCCCGCAACGAGCGCAACCCUUAUCCUUUGUUGCCAGCGGUCCGGCCGGGAACUCAAAGGAGACUGCCAGUGAUAAACUGGAGGAAGGUGGGGAUGACGUCAAGUCAUCAUGGCCCUUACGAGUAGGGCUACACACGUGCUACAAUGGCGCAUACAAAGAGAAGCGAACUCGCGAGAGCAAGCGGACCUCAUAAAGUGCGUCGUAGUCCGGAUUGGAGUCUGCAACUCGACUCCAUGAAGUCGGAAUCGCUAGUAAUCGUAGAUCAGAAUGCUACGGUGAAUACGUUCCCGGGCCUUGUACACACCGCCCGUCACACCAUGGGAGUGGGUUGCAAAAGAAGUAGGUAGCUUAACCUUCGGGAGGGCGCUUACCACUUUGUGAUUCAUGACUGGGGUGAGUCAAAAAGGGGGGGCCAAAAAAAAAGGGAACAAAGCACGGGACUCCA
rnacentral:rRNA from 1 species